CAUCAAAACAAUUCAUAAAAACAUGCCUUUAGUUGAACUAACAAUGAGGGAGGAGUAACAUGCCUUUGAUUGAGAAGAAGAUAAGAUGAAUCUCCCCUAUGAGCCUCAAUUGACCACCUUGAAGAAAACCCUAGCUUUUGCUUAACCCAAGAGCCUUGAGAGAUUUUGAGAGAGUUUAGAGUGUUUGACUGAUUGCAAAUAGGUUAAUGAAGCCCCAAAAUGUGUUUUACGUCAUGGGGUCCCAAGGAGUU
rnacentral:lncRNA from 1 species